ACUAGCCCUGUGAAAAGAGAUAUUGACGCCUGUGCCAACAGGCUGGGUCAUUGGUAGAUAAUUGGAGAAUGAAGACACUGUGCAGCCAACUGCAGCGCUGGAAAAGCUGGCGGCUACCUCAAAAAUCAGUCGAGAGCCGUCGCCUGAUCAUGCAGAACUGUGUUGGCACGCAAGGCUCUUCGGAGGUGGUUUGGGCGCCAACCGCAUCGAUUGUUAGUCGUAUUGUGACGCCAUAGCGGUGAGGUAAACACAGAUCCAGCCACCAAAAUUGCCCCGCUGGAUGUAAUCCGUAGCAAGUGGGUUAUGUCUCAUUAUUACAUUUGUUUUGUAUAUUAUACUCGCACUGUGUAGUUAUUGCAUGUAUGGUUUUGUGAUGGUACGACUGCGGAGAGCAUGAGUUUACAUUUGAUAGUUUGUUCCUACACUGUACCUGCUAAAUACUAAAAU
rnacentral:sRNA from 1 species